ACACACACUUGCAUUUAUCUGUCAGUAGACAUUCAGGUUGUUUCUGCCUUUGGGCUAUUGUUAAUGGUGCUGCUAUAUACACGAGUGUACAAAAAUCUCUUUGAAACCUUGCUUUCAUAUCUUUUGAGUAAAUACCCAGAAAUAUAAUUGCUGGAUCGAUCCUAUGGUGAUUGUAUUUUUAGGUUUUUUUGGAGGAAUCGCCAUGCUGUUCUUCUGUCGAUUACGUUUUAAAGUAGGAGUGUAUCCUACAUCUAUAUAGUUCUGGGUCUACUUCAAAUGCUCACGGUUGUUUACCCAGGACCCAGAUUCUGGAGUUGAGAGCUUCCCGGGUCCUCUUUGUGUGCAUCAGGAGACUUUUGGAAGCAAGGUUUGGGACUUGAGGCUCUAAUCACUAGGUCUGUUUCCCAAAUUCUGACAGGAGGGCCAGGGCCAAGAGCAAGGCUCCUGUGAUAGACGGGGGUGGGACAAAGGGAAGGGAGGAGGCGAUUGUGGUUCCAGACGGCAGCACUCGGGAGGAUGGGUUCACUUAGGAGUGGGUUGGACACGAGUGUGCAGAGGAGAGGAGGAAUCACUCAAUCCCGUGAACCUGGUGGGCAGGCUGUGCCUCUCAGGCUGCCACAGACACCCCGGGCAGCCUGGAGCAGGGGGCCCUUGUGUGGUAAAAGAGGGGCGUAACCCGAGGGACGCCUGGUUUUGUUUUCAUGCAUCUGAGUUUUGGCUUCGGCCAUCAGAUCUCCCUUGUUACGAUGAACAGUGUUAGAACAUCCUCUCCCCCGAUUUCCACACUAACCCGCGCAUACCCCACCUGCUCCCACUCCUGCCCUCAGACAUGCUGGUUCAGGCUCCAGCCCUUGCUAGACCAGUAAUUCCACGCCCGGUUGUAUGGUAUAGGAGAGUGUGUGGGUGUGGGUAUGUGUAUGUGUGUGUGAGACGUCAUGUGGGGUCAGGCGCUGAGGGGUCAGGAAGUGGAGAAUGACACAGUCAUAUUCUUCUGAUGGUAUAGAUAUACCAGGCAAGGAAGCACAUCUACUGUGACCGAGGUGUGCAUUUAUCAACAGGUCCUGUACACAUUUCAUGUAUUAUCGUAGCGUUUUAAUUUAUUUUUGUAAAGUCAAGUCAUUUUCACAGAGUGGAAAAUUGUCUCUUGAUGUUCAUUCCCCACUGCUUGGCUUGAGGUUUUCGAGUGGAAUCCACACAGUGGUGACAGCUGGGUAACCCCCAGAAGUGCCCUUUGCAGAUAACAGCUCUCGGGGCCCCACCACCCACGCAGUGGGGAAAUUGUUCCCCACUGUGUGGGUGUUUUGUUUUUUUCUUUUUCUAUAAGUUUGAAAGAGAGUUUAGACGUUCUUCCCGUCUGUCACGGUGCAGCAGCCCGGAGAAGCCUGCUCCCUCCUGACAGGAGCUCCUGGGCGAAGACGAAGUGGCUUCGGAGUGAGCAUGUCACCUUUGGCUCUCGCUUCUCUGAUACGACAGACAGGCCAUGUAAACCAACAGCGCGGCAUUUUUGCACGUGGCGCUUAGGUCCGUGUUUCUAAGAAUAGCCCAUGGAAGCAGGGUGGGAGAGCAUGAACUAGCUCCCAACGGAAUUUUGUUUUGUUUCUGUUGGUUAUCUUUAUUUAAUAAAUCAGGAAGGAAGCAAAAUUUCCACUGGGCUCUGUUAUAGUUAAAUGGAAGUUUACAGAGGUUUGACUUUUAGAUGAAGCCUAAAGAUGUCUCUUUCCCACAACAGACUCUUUCUAUCAGUUUCUAAUAGGCCUUAACAAAGGCCAGAUUUGGUGCCCCGUUCGGGCCUGUGCCCUAACCCUAAUUCUGGAGUUACAGGUACCAACCCCUUAAAAGGCUUUGGUGUCCCCUGAGGGCUGACGAGGGGAUGGGAGCACUGGGGCGCUUGUGCGUGUUCAGUCCCAGAGAAGUUGACAGUUUGACAGUCCCUGUGUUGGACUUCGGAGGGCAUGGCCUUACACCGAAAAUGCAGACCCCAUGAUUAAAUGUCAUUCUGAGGCCCCCUUUGAGUGUUUGCUUUGAAUGAGCCAGAGGGCCUAGCAAGCAGUGAAACGGUCAUGUACUUCUGUGUUCUGAUUUAGAUUAGAAGUGGAGUUUGAAGUUCAUAGAUGAAUCAGAACGCUUAUUGAAUGGACAGGCUGCAUCAAUGAACAAAUGAAAUUGUCAUCUUGAAAUACAAAGGGAGGAAAAGACAAGAAACAGGGCCAUCAGGCCUGUUGGACUUUGAUUUCAAGUGUUGGCAAAUACCUAGCAUCUCCCAUUUGGAGCUGGUUUGAUCUUGUGGAGACAGCUGGGAGACACUGUUGUUCUCCAAAUUUUGUAAAAAUAAACAAAGAUGCCUUUCUGCCCUUUUUUCCCCUUCCAGGGAAUGGUUGUUUCUGUCACUGGGGCUUUCUGGCCGACGGCUCCAUCUGUCUCUUUUUCAGACUUCACAGUGAGGCCCUGACCAGAUUUAUCCACAGGGUUGCCAAGAAAUUUAUUCAACCCCAAUGGCAUAAUCUUAAAAGCAAAGCCAUCUUGUGGAAGGUUGCGUUUUUAAGAUAACCUUCACACAAAAUGUUGCCCCUGCAAAGCAGAAUGUGAAUACUCACACUGUGUCUGGAUUCCAUGUUCUUACUCAGUGAGGUCCUUCAAGGCCACAGGUAUGUUGUUGGCUUCUUACAGCAGAGCUCGGCCUGGGGCUGUGGAUGUGCCUGGAGAGUGGUGGAUGCUUUUCAGGGUCCGGGGGAGUCGGGGAUAGACAGAUGUGUCUUCCUGUGCCUCUCCCAUCCCCUUCAAUCCCUUGUCUGGUUUUCAUUUGGUGGCCUUGUUCUCCAAAGAGAUUCUGGUCCAGACUCUCGGCCAUUUCCCCAGUCACACCUGCUCGUCACAUGUCUGUUGCCACACCCACAGGGUGAUCUCUGGGGGGAUAGUUUGCCUGCCAGUAAGAGGAUCUUUCUCAAAUACAGAUCUGAUUAUGCCCUUCCCACUCAAAAGCUUCCAUGGGCUUCCAUGCCCAGGGAACGGAUUUCUGACCCCAGACUUCAUCUCCAACCCUCUGUCCUCAAAAUUUGCAGUUCUGAGCUUCCUGCUUGUUCUAUUCCUUGCUCUUACUAUUUCCUUUUGAGGAAUUAACUUCUGUCUUCUCUUCUGCGUUAGUGAACUCCUACCCAUCCUCUGAUGGCCCCUAGGAUGGAAAAGAUGUCACCUCAUUUUCAAAAAAUUGUCAAGCAGUCAUGCUCCUUUCUGGUGUUAGGGCUCAGGGCUGACCUCAAUUUCGUGCCUUUCUUUUCCUUUCUAUAUCAGGAAGCAGGUUGGAGAGGCAGACUGCGUUCCUGGCCCCCCUCACCCGUGCCCUUCCACAUCAGAACCUGUGAACCCCACAACCCAGCCCUUAGAGCCAAGGCCAUUUGGCAAAGCUAUUCUGUGUGGAAGCACCAAGAUAAUUCGAUGGAGAAAGGAUAUAGAUGAUACUACAACAAUUGGAUAUCCUUAAAGAAAACACCCCAAACCCUCAACCCAUACUUUACAGCAUGUACAACAAUGAACAAAAGUGGGUCAUGUGCCUAAAGCAAAAUCUAAAAGUGACAACUUUACAGAAGAAAACAUAGCUUCAGAUCUUUGUGGCCUUGGGCGAGGCAAAGGCUACUUCGGACACAAAGAACAUAAACUGUGAAAGGAAAAGUUGGUAAAAUGGAUUUUGUCAAAAUUAAAAACAUCUGCUCUGUGAAAACCACUGCCUAGAAACUAAAAGACAAGCCACAAACCAGGAGAAAAUAUUUUCAAAACACAUAGCUGAUAAAGGACUCGUAUCCAGAAUAUGUGCCGAACUCUUACAGCCCUUUAACAAGACGGCAGUUUGAUAAGUGGGCAAAAAUUCUUGAACUGAUACUUUACCAAAGAAGAGACGCAAAUGGGAGGGCAGAAGAGAAAGAAAAGAGAUGGCAAUAAACACAUGAAGGGAUGCUCGACCUUGUUAGUCAUCAAGGAAAUGCAAAUUAAGACCACAGUGAGAUACCAUUACGCAUAGAUCAGAAUGGCUUAAACACC